rnacentral:SRP_RNA from 1 species
GGUCGGGCCCCAUGCAAUCUGUUGUUCGCCAACCCCGCCAGAUUCGGAAGAAAGCAACGGUAACGAUUCACCUGAUGUGCAGUGGGUAACCUGACCCCU